GAUAAACGCUGGCGGCGUGCCUAAUGCAUGCAAGCCGAACGGCCCGAUUUAUCGGGCAGUGGCGAACGGGUGAGUAACACGUAAGAACCAACCCUCAAGUGGGGGAUAACCCCGAGAAAUCGGGGCUAAUACCGCAAAGCUCCCCAAUUAUAUCGGGGAGGAAAGCUGAGGCGCUUGAGGACGGGCUUGCGUCCGAUUAGCUAGUUGGUGGGGUAAUGGCUCACCAAGGCUGAGAUCGGUAGCUGGUCUGAGAGGAUGAUCAGCCACACUGGGACUGAGAUACGGCCCAGACUCCUACGGGAGGCAGCAGCAGGGGAUAUUGCGCAAUGGGUGAAAGCCUGACGCAGCAACGCCGCGUGGGGGAAGAAGGUUUUCGGAUCGUAAACCCCUUUUCUCGGGGAAGAUGGUGACGGUACCCGAGGAAUAAGUCUCGGCUAACUACGUGCCAGCAGCCGCGGUAAGACGUAGGAGGCGAGCGUUAUCCGGAAUUAUUGGGCGUAAAGGGCGUGUAGGCGGCUCUUCAAGUCUUUGGUGAAAUCUCCCGGCUCAACUGGGAGGGUAUCAGAGAAACUGGAGGGCUUGAGGGCAGUAGAGGGGGGUGGAAUUCCCGGUGUAGUGGUGAUAUGCGUAGAUAUCGGGAGGAACACCAGUGGCGAAGGCGGCCCCCUGGGCUGUUCCUGACGCUGAGGCGCGAAAGCGUGGGGAGCAAACAGGAUUAGAUACCCUGGUAGUCCACGCCGCAAACGAUGGACACUAGGUAUGGGGGGUAUCGACCCCCUCCGUGCCGAAGCUUACGCUUUAAGUGUCCCGCCUGGGGAGACGGCCGCAAGGCU
rnacentral:rRNA from 1 species